rnacentral:rRNA from 1 species
GUGGGGAAUAUUGGACAAUGGGGGGAACCCUGAUCCAGCCAUGCCGCGUGUGUGAAGAAGGCCUUUUGGUUGUAAAGCACUUUAAGCGAGGAGGAGGCUACCGAGAUUAAUACUCUUGGAUAGUGGACGUUACUCGCAGAAUAAGCACCGGCUAACUCUGUGCCAGCAGCCGCGGUAAUACAGAGGGUGCAAGCGUUAAUCGGAUUUACUGGGCGUAAAGUGCGCGUAGGUGGCCAAUUAAGUCAAAUGUGAAAUCCCCGAGCUUAACUUGGGAAUUGCAUUCGAUACUGGUUGGCUAGAGUAUGGGAGAGGAUGGUAGAAUUCCAGGUGUAGCGGUGAAAUGCGUAGAGAUCUGGAGGAAUACCGAUGGCGAAGGCAGCCAUCUGGCCUAAUACUGACACUGAGGUGCGAAAGCAUGGGGAGCAAACAGGAUUAGAUACCCGGGUAGUCC